GGACUGGGCAGUUGUGAUCUCAACUACUCAAGAACAGUGUGCCUUAACAUCUAUCGAGUCUUUCCUUUCCUUCUCAAAUGUUUUUCUUGAUUUUGCAUUUUUCCCUAUGUGUCCCUUUAGGUAUUUUUUAAAACUGAUUUCAAAAAUCAUUUGUUUACCCCAAUGAACUAGAUUGUUGGGGGGAGGGCAACAAGGGGGGGAGGAUGGGGAGGGGAACACCCAUAAAAAAGGGGAGGGAGGAGGGGGAUGAUUGCCCGGAAACUGGGAAAGGGAAUAACACUCGAAAUGUAUAUAAGAAAUACUCAAGUUAAUUUAAAAAAAAAUCAUUUGUUUAACAACCACUUGCCCAUGUAUAUAAACUCACAGAUUACUAUACACUAGGUUUUCCUAGUUUAGGUUUGUUUUUGAGGCGGGGUCUCACUCUACUGUCCAGGCUGGCUUAGAACUCAUUAUAAAGCUCAGGCUUGAACCCAUGCCAGUUCUCCUGCCUUAGCCUGACUGCUGGGAUUACAGGCAUGCUGAGUGAUAAUUUUAUCUUAAUACAGGAUGUCAUACCCACACAAAGAUGCUUGCCAUUGUCAUCUACAUGAUGAAACCACAGGGAACACAAAGGACAUAUUGGGGGGAGGGUAGUUUUUCAUAUUACAGAUGGCAAAGUGAGAGGAAAUGUUAGAACCCAUCCUUUAGUAUUAAGAAAAGUUUAUUCUUAGUUUUCAUAGUUGUGAUUAGAACCCAAGGCCUUGCACAUGGUAGGUAAUAGUUCUUUUACAUACUUGGCUUUCAGUUUUCUUACUAUAAAAGCAUGUAACAAAAUGCAUCCUCUUGGGGGUCAGAGAGAUGGCUCAGCAGGUAGAAGUGCUUUCUCCAAGCCUGAAGACCUGAGCUCAGCCUCUGGAACUGAAGGAGAGAACUGGAGAGAACUGACUCCCCAUAAAUUUCUGAUCUCUACUUAUGUACAAAAUAAUAAUUGUCUUAAAAGUUUCACCUUAGGUGUACAGUUAAAUUAUUAAAUGCAUUCAUUGUUGACCAACCAUCACCACUAUUCAUCUCUAAUUCUUUCAUCUUGUAAAAUGAAACUCUACACCCACUAAAACAACGGCUCCCAUUUUCUAGUCUCCAGGUGUUCGUAGUCUCCAUUUGUCACUCCCCAUAACAUGAAUAAUCUGCAAACAAGUGAAAUCAGAAGUUAUGUCUUUUUGUGACUGACUUUUCACUCAAUGUCUCCAAUAAUCAGGUUAUAAUAUUCAUUUCUAUUUAUUUAUUCACAUAUGUGUGUUUGUGUGGGUAUCUUUAUGUGGGUACAAUUAUUCGUGAAGGUUAGAAUGUGAUGUCAGAUCUCUUGGACUUGAAGUUACAGGCAGUUGUGAGCUGCCUGCCCUGGAUGCUGUAUCUAUACUCAGGUCCUUUGUAAGAGCAGUGCAGGCUCUUAACUGCUGAGCCAUCAUUCCAAUCCCUCUAUUCCUUUUUAAGGCUAAUUAAUAUUCCAUUUCCCACCUUUUGCUGAUCCUUUCAACCUUAAAUGCAUCCCUGGGCCACUUGCAUGCUUCGUAAAUACAAUGGCAAGAUCAAGAAUGUGAUUUUUAGACCCUAUUUUCUUUUUUUAAAAAAAAUUGUUUAAUGUUUAAGAUAAUUACUUCCCCUUUCCCUUCCCCAGACACACACACACACACACACACACACACACACACACACACACAGUCCUAAAUAGUUAAGUAUAACCUGCUUGAUCUGCAUAUUACUUGUAUGCAUGUUUUCAGGGCUGACAGUUGGUACUGGAUAACUGGUGUGCUCUUCUCUGGAAAAACCAUCUCUUCAGCUCUUAACAUUCCUUCGUUUCCUCUAGUUCUUUGCUUAGGUUUGAGGUCUACUGGGCUUAUGUCUAUCAAUGCUGUUCUUGUUCAGCUCAUGUAGGCAGUCAUGGUAUAGACUUUACAUUCAAUUCUUUUGAGUAUAAUACCCAGAAGACUUGUGUUAAAUGGUGAUUCAAUGCUUAUUUUCCAUAUGGCUAUGCUGUUUCACAUUUCCAUUCACAGUGUGCCACUCCUCCUCCGCAUCCUCUUCUGUUUUUGUUUGUUGUUUAUCUUUUGGUAGGUUUGUUUUAUGUCAUGUGUAUGAGUGUUUUGUUCACUUGUAGGACUGUGCACCCUAUGCAUGCCUGGUAACAGCAGAGCUCAGAAGAGGGCAUCCCAAGGGCUCUUAACCACUGAGCGACUCUCCAGUAUUUCUGUUAUUAUUAUUUUAAUGUGAGCCAUCCCGAUGGAUUUAAAGUGGCAUUUCAGUGGUGUUUUGAUUUGCAUUUCUGUACUGAUUUGUUGGAGUGAUGUUUUUGUGCACUGUGUAAAGAUUAUCCUUGUAGUUUUCAAAUGCUGAUCUAUACUGGCAGAAUUGAGUAGACUUAUUGUCUCAACAUUUUGUAAACAUUCUUCUCCAUCACCUAAUUGUCCCUGGAUUUUUUUAAAAUGUGGGUUCUGGGGAUUGAACUCAGGUUGCUAGCCUGCCUUUAACCACUAAACCAUCUAGCCAGCCUCAAUUUUUUUCUUAGUCACCUUCUAGAUAAUAGAAAUGUAGCUCAAACACUUUAGAUUAUUUGAGACCACAUCCCUCAAGAUUAGUACCAGGAGGCCUACCUUCUGGACAAAAUCUAUUCUGGAGCCUACAUCUUACAUCACAUGGCAAGCUAAUAAUUGGGGCUCCUAAGGUCGGCAUGGUGGCACAUGCCUUAAAUCCUUGCCCCUGGGAGGCAUCCUUCCUUUUGUUUAUGGAAGAAGUCUCAUUACUGGCAAGAUGGUAACCUUAGCCUCAAACAAAAGGGAUUGUUUUAACAACAAGAUCAUUAAUGUCUAGCGCUUGUUCUACUUGGCUAGACGGGACCAUGCAGAUCCUCAAGUUUGGGGAUGUGAGUUGCUACUCUCAUCUUACUUACUCCUUUUUCUAUGGACCCCCCACUGCUUUCCCAUAUGCCCUAGCUAGAAGGCCUCCUUUUUCUGUAUAGCAAAUUCUAAGAAACUGUUCAAUAUGUAAACCUGGCUCCACUGUAAGCCUAGAAAGUAGUAACAUGUGUCAGUUGUCACACGUUUGAAUGUGCUCCCCCUAAACUUCAGGUGCUGUCUGUGUAAAAACAUGGCCUUUCUGAGAUUCUACCAUGAGGGCUCCUCCUUCAUGGACCCAACUAAAGCCCUUACACAGGAGACUUCAGACAGCAUUCACCAUCUUGCCUUUCUGUCUCUACCAUUUGAGUACACAACACCAAGGUGUGCGAAAUCUUAAAAGUGGUGAAUUGUCAGACAUGCUGGAAUUUCAUCUUGGACUUUUCAGUCUCUAGAACUAUGAAAUAAAACCUAUGUUCUUUAUAAAUUACCCAGUUUAAGGUGUUUUAUUAUAGUAGCAGAAAAUAGACUAAGGCAUCUGCAAGAGAAUGCAGUAAACUCCAUCUAUGGAGUCUAAUAUGUACAUCCCCAAUACUGCACCAAUGUUGCCAUCAGGGGGGAUUAGGCAAAAAUAGGUAUUUUCUGUGACCUUCUUUUACAUUUUGGAAGUACUGAAUUGGUUAACAGAUAGGGAAACAAACUACAGAACUUUAUUCUUAAACACCAAUAACAUGAAUGUGUUGACUAUGGCUUGUACAGUCAGCAAGGUAGGAAACAUAGAUUGCGCUCCCAUUGUGGAGAAAUGAACUCAGUGCUAUCAAGUGGCAUGCCCAGGUCUGGCCUCUACUUGGUAGUGACUCACAUCCCUGCCCACUGUUUCCAUUCCACUGAACCCUUGUUGGAAAGCAUCGUCAGAAAUACACAAAAAAAACACAAAGGAAACACAAUCUUGCUUUCUCCAUGGUGUUUCAGAUUACCUGACAAAGCUUACAAAUACCAAGGGCCAGCAGGAGUAAAACAGAAUCCUACCACAGACUAGACCAAAGUCAGAUAUUUUCCUUCCAAACUCAUGCAAAAGUACUAUAAUGUUUACUUAGCUUUAAAAACAGUUUACUGAGACAUAAUUGACACACUAACUACAUAAAGUACAAAAUCUGCUAAGUUUGAACUUAAAUUCUAUCACCAGAGUAAGAUAACCAAGAGGGCUGUCUGUGACCCUGUGUCCAGCCCCUCCCAUGCUUCCCUCUCAACCCCUCCAACUUCAAAUGUCUAUGGAUCUACUUUCUGCCACUAGAAAUGACUUUGAAUUUAUUUUUUUUUUACUUCACCUAGCGUAUUUGGGGAUUCAUGCUGUUUACCACUGUUGGCCCUGUCAAUACUCAUUUCUCUCUUUUAAAAACCUAAUUUCACCCACUUGAAAUGGCAAAGGGACAUCUUGGUGGUGGCAGAACAGAUGGCAGUCCUUUGUUCAUCCUAUCGUGAUGCUUAGCGCAAUGCCUGGCUUGAUGCCUGGCUUGAUGGCCAAAGCUGUCUCAUGCCGAGGAUUCAUACAAAUCAAAUCAAACUCGAAUCCAGGCAGAGCAGCACAUGAGGAGGAACACAUACAAAGAGCUGUGGACAGCCAUGCCUUCCAGCUCAUGCCACGGGUGGGUCAUAGACACCAGUUUGCCACCACACCACACAGCACAGAUGAAAGAUACUGCCCAGGCGCCCACCAGCUAUGUGAGCCACAAUGUGCGAGUAUGUGGUGGUUAGAUGGAAGUGAGAGAGAAGAGAAACAGCCUGAGCAUUAUGAGGAGAGAUGGAACUGGAGACUCAAGCAUGAAGUAGCCUUUUAUGAGUGGCCAGCCUACCCUCUGCAGUCAUGGUGAGGUCCCAGUCUGAGCUGACACUAAGGGCCAUGUCUGAGUCCACAGCUACAGAGUGGAAGGAGUUGGUGUCAAUGUCUGUGGCUCUAUUACCACUAGAGAAUACGGGGAUGUCCCUGGUUGAGGCGGCUGCUGGGAAACACAUGGGUGUCCGAGAGCUGUGACUAACUGUACCUGCCCGCACUGGAGUCAGUGCUCAGAAGAGCCGGCUCCAUCUCUCACCAGGAGCACUCGGGAGAAUAGGCCCUGUGCCUAGUCCAGGCAGCACAGUGGAGCUGGUCUCUGUGGAAAGGGUGUGGGUGAGCCAACCCAGAGGGCAUGAGUGUGGGAGAUAUGACCCUGCCAUACAUCUUCAUGGGGUGGCACAGGUGCAGAGGUGAUGCACCCCUACCCACCUCUUGCCACCACUGGGAGUGAGGAAAGCUGCCCACAGGGUCAUGAGCUUGGAGAGCUAGCCUUGCCUGGAUAGUAUAGCAGAAAUGACCCUGGUGGCAGGAAGUGCAUGUGAGCAGGCCCAGAGGGUGAGAGCUUGAGGGAGCUGGUCCCAUCACUCAUCUGCCAUUAGUGGUGUGGGUUUAGGGGUGAUACCUUGACCCUCACCACCUGAGGUCAUGAGAACUAGCCCUGCCCCUCGCCAGCUGCAGCACCCAGGAGAAGGGGCCCUGCUCCUCAUCUGGGCAGCACAAUAGUGCUGGCCCUGGUUGGAGGGGGUGCACGUGAGCUGGCUCCAAAGGCAAGAGCAUGGGAGAACUGGCUCAGCCACCCCUCUGACAUGAGGUGGCCUGGGCCAGGAGGAGAUGCCCUUUGUCCCCUCACCCCUUGCCACCUGAGACAGUUGGAAGAAGUGACCCUGGAGUCAUGAGAGCAGGUGAGCUGGCUCUGCCCUUCUCUGGCAGCAGUAUUCUGCAAAGUGGACUCUGGGUAGCACAGUAGGGCUAGCCCCUGAUUGAAGGGGAAUGGGUGAGCCAACCCAAAGAGUGAGAGCAAAGGAGAGCUGGCCCCACCACUCUAUGAGGUGGCAUUGGUACAGAGGUGAGGCCCUCCCCGACUCACCACCUACAGUUAGAACUGCAGAUCAGGAGAGUGGGGGAGCUGGCCCUGUAGCACUUGGAGAACAGGGCACUGCACCUUACCUGGGCAAUACAGUAGAGCUGGCCCUGAUAGUGAAGACACAGGUGAGCCAGUUCCAAAGGUGUGAGAGCAGGAGGGCUGGCCCAGCCCCUCACAGGCUGCAGCAUUUGGGAGAGUGGGUCCCACAUCUUUGGGAGACUGGGCAGUACAGUCGAGCUGGCUCUGGUGGUAUGGGUGUGGGUGAGCAAACUCCAAGGGCAUGAGAGCUGGAUUGCCCCCUGUCAGUCACAGCAUAUGGUGGCCAUAGAUGUUUUUUUUCUUUGCUUGCUUGCUUGUAUGUUUUAUUUCGGAGGGGAGGUUGCAAGGGUGAAGAUCAGAUAUGAGGGGACAGGGAGAUGCAUGGGACUAGGGUGCAUGAUGUAAAACUAACAAAGAAUCAGUAAAAAGUAAAAAAAAACAAAAAACAAAAAACAAAAAAAAAAAACCCACCUAGUUUCUUAGAGAAGUUUUAAGUUGAUAACAAAAUGGAACAGAAGCAAAGAGAUUUCUCAUAUAUUCCUCUCUGUAUAUAUACAGCCUCCCCUGUAUCUCCUACAGAGCAGCACCUGUCUGCUGAAGAACCUGCAUCAACACAUUUGUACCCAGAGUUCAUAGUUUAUAUGAGGGUUCACAUUUGCUAUUGUACAUUGAAGACUUUGUGUAAAUGCAUACAAUAACAUCCAGGAUUGCAGAAUAACAGUUGUGCUGAGUCAGUGUGAGCGCCCUCGCUCGUGCGCGGGCUCUCGCUCGCUCUCUCUCGCUCUCUCUCUCUCUCUCUCUCUCUCUCUCUCUCUCUCUCUCUCUCUCCUUCACCCCUUCCUCACUGCCCACUUCCAACUCUGUGGAGAUACACCAAGAUCUGGCAGAGAAGGAUCACUGGAGUGUGGUUUUUAGCCUGGCCUUGAUCCAUCAUAUCUCUGCUUCCUGAUCUGCUAAGAUAUGUGUUGCCUUAGCCACACAGUCCUGCCAUCAUAAACACUGCCAAGAACUUUACCAUGUUCUCCCUGCUAUGAUAAACUAAACUAAACCAAAAUACACUUUUAUCCUUUGAUGAUUCUGCAAAAUAUUUUAUUAUAGUGAUAAUAAAAGUAGCUAAGAUGUAUAUUUGGAAGCUCUGCCAAUCAUAUGCAAAACCAUUUAUCACUGCUAUGACCUCUUCGUUAAUGUAUCCAUUUGUCACUGUGCAUUGAUCUCUUAAAAAAUAUUAUUGCUGUUGGCACUUAACUUGGGAGCCCAUUUAAUGUAGUUUUGGGUUUUUUUUUUUUUUUUUGCAGUGUUAGGGAAUAUUAGUAUAUUUAGAAGUAGACCUUUAAAGGACUAAUUGUGCUAAGCUGAGAUCAGUUGGGUCAGCACUAAUCUAUUAUGAUCAAUGCAUAUAAGAAGAAAUUUGAGAAAAUAAAUUAAGCCAGGCAGGCAGGAGUGGCAAACAUCUUCAAGUUCCAGGACACCUAGGGCUACAUAGAGAAACCUUGUCUCAAACAAAUAAACAAACAAACAAAACAAAAAUGAGGAACAGGAAGAAGUGGUGGAAGAGGAAAAGCAAAAAAGAAAAAAGAAAUAAUGAGGUGAAGACUGGCGAAUCUUGAGCUGGGAGUGGUGGUACAUAACCCGUAAACCAGUACUUGAGAGAUGGAAGGAGGGAGAUCAAAAGUUCAAAGUUAUUUUCAGAUAUGUAAUAAGCUAAAGGCCAACGUAGACUACAUAAUAUGCUGUCUUAAUAAGCAAAACUAAAACAGUAAUAAACAUAUAUAGACAAAGGCCAUGUGAAGAAAAAGGAAGGCAGUCAGCCUUCAGAAAACUGUGCUAACAAUUUUGCCGUUUCCCAGUUUGCCAUUACUUUGUUGCAACAGCUUGAGCAAACACGCAGGCCUGGUAAUCUUUGAUACGAUGGUAGAUCUUGCAAAUAUUCAGUGGUGAGUGCUAGAUAUUAUUAUUUUAUAUUAAUUAACUAUGGGUUUUUUUGUUUUGUUUUGUUUGUUUUUGAGACAAGGUCUCCCUAUGUAGCUCUGGCCAUCCUGGAACUCACUAUGUAGAACAGCUGCCUCUGCCUCCUACAGAUUGGAAUCUAAGGCAUGUACCAACACACACACACACACACACACACACACACACACACACACACACACACACACACACUUAUUUUCCCAAGUAGGGCUCCUCUGACUGUCCUGGACUAUCUCUGUAAAUCAUGCUGCCUUAGAGAUGUCUGCUACCUCUUCCCAAGUGGUGGGAUCAAAGGUAUGCGCCACUACUGCCUAGCUUAUUCUUUUAUACUCCUGUCAAUACCACUUCUGAGGACACAGAUAAAAGAGAAGGGUCUGAUUCUCUUGGGUCCUACUUUUUAUGACUAACUGGGGAAUCUGAAGAAGUAUUCAGUCUGGAGCUAUUUCCCACCACUGAAGUACAAUGCUCUUGAAUAUUUUACUAUAUACUCCAUGAAUUUGGUCUUGAAGGGAACAGACUAAUCCCUUUAAUCUUUUAGAGUACUUCAGUCCUCACAUGUUGGUCAGUGCUCUCCUGAAUGCUUACAGUCUCUCCCUUUGCCCCUGUCCUCUUUUUGGUACUCAAUCCAGCAGUCUCUAGACACUCCAUUCCAAAUCCAUUACCCAGGAGGUCCAUUAGGCUCCAUGCCUCAGUUUCUCCUUUGCUGUGCUCUGGCAUGGGAACUCUCAAAGAAGUCAGGUCCAGAAGUCUAAUAGUCCUCUCCCUUGUCAGUCACCUCCAGGGAUUACUGGCUCUUGUUGCUCAGUACCAGGUGUUUUGAAAACAUUAUUUCAUCUGCGCGUAGGAGUCUACAUCUCUAAUCCCAGUUCUUGGGAAGUAGAGGCUCAGGAGUUCAAAACCUGCCUUACUACACUGUACUUUUGAAGCCAGCCUGGGCCACAUACGACUGUAAAAAGCAGACAAACGUUGCACGUAUCCUCCCCCUUUUUUUGCUUUAGUGCUGUUUCAGCUCCUUCAAGACAAAUGCAACCCCAUGUGUCUCUAAGUGGGCUGGAGGUACAACUUUUUGUUGUUUUCUAAAACAAGGUCUCACUAAUUAAUUAUACCCGGUUGGCCUCAAACAGGUGAUCUUGUUUCAACUUUCUACUGCUGGGGUUACAAAGUGUGCUCCACACCUUGCCAAGAGGUGAAGUUCUAGUUGUCCUUGAAGAAGUAAGUAUUCAUAAUUGUUUUUCAGCAAUACCUGCAAUGAUGGCUAGCGUUCAUGUUGACCUGAUUGUAUUCAGAAUUAACGAGGGGUUUGAAACACACCUCUUUGUGUUGCCACACACUCCUGCCAACACAGUUGCUCCCCAUUGUGACAGACUGUACCCUCUGAAACUGUGAGUUAAAAUGAAGCUUUCUUCCCUUAAACUUGUCUGUCAGAUAUUCAGUCCUACUAUUGAAAAAGGUAAAGAAGGGGGCUGGAGAGAUGGCUCAGAGGUUAAGAGCACUGUCUGCUCUUCCAGAGGUCCUGAGUUCAGUUCCCAGCAACCACAUGAUGGCUCACAACCACCUAUAAUCAGGUCUGGUGCCCUCUUCUGGCCUGUAGUUGCAUACAUGCAGGCAGAAAGCUGUAUGAUGUAUACAUAAUAAAUAAAUAAAUGUUUAAAAAAAAAGAAAAGAAAAGAAAAAGGUAAAGAAGUAACUAAGUACAGGAAACUGGUAUCUCUGAGAGGAUCCUGCUGUGAUAAACUUAAGCAUAUUGUUCAUAGGCUUUGAGAACAGGAAUGUGGGAGGAAUGUGGAGGAAUUUGGAGCUGUGGCAUGGAGAAACCCUGGAGUGUUGCAAUCACCGCCAAAUGAGCUGUCCUGCUGGAAAUUCAGAAUAGACUGCCAAUAGAAAAGCAGGUAAGAAAGACUACUCCCCAGGAAACAAAGAUUGUCAGGGUCCAAAAGUCGCAAAGGAAGACCCAAGACUCAAAUAGUUUGCAAAGGCAAAAAACGUUUAUUCUGCAGAAAUUAUCAGCAUGCAGGGGUCCACCAUUGAUCAAAAUGGUGAUAACCCAAGGGGCUGAUAGACCCCCCUUUUAUGCAGGGCUCAGGGAAUUUUCCAGAAGGAUUUAGGUAACUCUAAUAUGAUUGGUAGGGGGAAAAGCAGUGAAAUCAGUACAAUUUUGAUUGGCUGCUACGUUAGUUCCAUUAUACUUGGUGAGCCCCUGAAGAAUGCUGGAAACCAGCUCAGUUCUGGCCUUGUUAUCUCCUCAGCCAGGUGUCCCAGGAGCUGACUCAGCUCCAGACUUAUCGUCCCUAAAUCAGGGCUGUCACUGACUAAAGGCCCUUGUCAGUGGCUUCUUCUGAGGAGCCCAGUCUGCUUCCCAUGGAGUCGUUUGGACCUCUCAGAUUCUAUCAAGAAUUGUUAUUGAGGCUAAUUCUGUUACAUUCUAGCAAAAGAUUGAGCUAUGUUCUAUGUCCUGAAAUUUUGAUUAGGCUAAAUUAGAAGGUAACAUGUUUUACACAGUAAUUUCAAAACUGUAUCCACUCUAUAGCAUGUUUACUGAUCUCUGCCUUUAUAAUGAGAUUGCGUAAGUGGAACAAAAGAAUGUGAAAAACAUAGUUUUGUGAACAGAAGAUCUUGAGCAAGUUUUAAAGUUCAGACAAACUAGCUGAACUACUUUGACAUUCUGGUUCAAUUAAAGAGUGAUCUUUGACUCUGAACUGGGACAAUAGAAAAGAUACCAUGAACCCAAGUUAUGUCCCAAAGAAGCUGGGGUACAUUUGAAGCCAGAAGCACAACAUGGAGUCAUCUAUGGUGCUAGUUUCCAAGGCAUGUAAAAUACACAUGUUGCAGAAAAAUGAAGGUUUAUGUCAAGGUUCAGGAAAGUCACGUGGGCCAGGCAACAUGUGGCAGAGUAGGAAUCCCUUAGCUCCUGAGUAGGCUAUUCGUAAAGCUGUCAAUGUGAAGCCCAAACUGUAAUAGAGACAGACCCUACAUGUUGUAGAUGCUAGGAAUGUAGAUUAUCACCAAGAAAAGGUGUGCGCACUAAGAGGAGUGAGCUCAGAUGUUAUGUAUGUCACAGGUAGCAGGGAUACAGGGUCAUGGCUACCCAAGCCUGUUAUAGACAAGAUGAUGGCACCAUGAGCCCUAAAUGCUGAACCUAGAACUACAAAAUUUGGUGUUUUCCCUGAUGGGCUUGCUCUUUGUUUCUUUGCUAUGUUCCCUCCCUUUUAGAAUGGGAAGGUUUCCUCUGUGCCACUAUAUAUUGGACAUAUAUUGUAGGUUGAUGUCAUUAUGCAGGUGAAGGCAGACAAGAUAAAACAAGGCCUGUCAUUGGACAAGAAGGGAGGCAGGAACAGAGGUUUUAGAAGGGAGGGAGAGGAAGAGAGAGAAAGCGAAGAGGAAGGAGCUAGGAGAACAGGGUAGCAGAUGUUAAGAUUCUUCUCUGCGCAUAGAUAUAAGUUGUUAUGACAGGAUGGGUAUGUACAGGAUUUUAUGCUGUCUGGAUGGGCAAAUUAUAUCUUAUCAAUUGGAUCAGAGGUUAUUGUGUGGUGUGUUCUUUCAUUGGGUGACUUAAUCGAGUCCACAGUAAGAGAGCCACGAGAUAGGCGGUCUCUGUAUGAAACUGGCUUGGCAACAACCCACCAAGGGAGCUGUGAGUGAGGACAGGAUGGCUUGGCAGGGUGCGGUGCUGGAAAGGCUCGUGGACCGACGGGGUCAGACAGUACUUGGGUGCAGCGUGGAGCCACUAGUUCCAAUGACCUGCUGGAGCUGGAACUAGUGAGAGAGUGACCACCAGGGUACCAUUGGGAACCAUUCUGACUUCUUUUUUAACCACAGCAAGUAUAUAACAUUAAAAUUUUUACAGUGGUUCAAAUUAAGAGAAUGCUUUGAGUCAAAGCAUCAAUUCAAAGAUAUUUUGAACUUAACCUUCUGAAUAAUGUUUUAAAGGUACCCUUGAAAUUAAAUAAACGGCAUUUAGUAUUAUGAGACAGAGAGGAGUGGGAUUUCCUUUGGGGAGUUGUGAGUAGGAAUGUGAAGGGAUGGGAUAAAGUAUUACAGAUUCAAGUAAUAUGUUUGAAAAUUGACAGAGAGUAGACUUGUGAUGAUUAACCUUCAAUGUCACGUUUAGGACCCCC